rnacentral:rRNA from 1 species
UGGCAAUACAUCGUCAGCGACUGAGCGAAAGCAUUAAGUAAUCCACCUGGGGAGUACGUCAGCAAUGAUGAAACUCAAAGGAAUUGACGGGGGCCCGCACAAGCGGAGGAACAUGUGGUUUAAUUCGAUGAUACGCGAGGAACCUUACCUGGGCUUAAAUGUAGAGUGCAUGAGGUGGAAACACUUCUUUCCUUCGGGACUCUUUACAAGGUGCUGCAUGGUUGUCGUCAGCUCGUGCCGUGAGGUGUCGGGUUAAGUCCCAUAACGAGCGCAACCCUCAUCGUCAGUUGCCAGCACAUCAUGGUGGGGACUCUGACGAAACUGCCGGUGCAAACCGUGAGGAAGGUGGGGAUGACGUCAAAUCAGCACGGCCCUUAUGUCCAGGGCUACACACGUGUUACAAUGGUCAGCACAGUGGGCAGCUACACAGCGAUGUGAUGCUAAUCUCCAAAACUGAUCUUAGUUCGGAUCGGAGUCUGCAACUCGACUCCGUGAAGCUGGAUUCGCUAGUAAUCGCACAUCAGCCAUGGUGCGGUGAAUACGUUCCCGGGCCUUGUACACACCGCCCGUCAAGCCAUGGAAGCUGGGGGUGCCUGAAGUCCGUGAUCCGUCUUUGGCGGAAGCGGCCUAGGGUAAAACUAGUAACUGGGGCUAAGUCGUAACAAGGUAACCAAGGGCGAA